UAGGGAAUCUUCGGCAAUGGGGGCAACCCUGACCGAGCAACGCCGCGUGAGUGAAGAAGGUUUUCGGAUCGUAAAGCUCUGUUGUAAGUCAAGAACGGGUGUGAGAGUGGAAAGUUCACACUGUGACGGUAGCUUACCAGAAAGGGACGGCUAACUACGUGCCAGCAGCCGCGGUAAUACGUAGGUCCCGAGCGUUGUCCGGAUUUAUUGGGCGUAAAGCGAGCGCAGGCGGGUUGAUAAGUCUGAAGUUAAAGGCUGUGGCUCAACCAUAGUUCGCUUUGGAAACUGUCAAACUUGAGUGCAGAAGGGGAGAGUGGAAUUCCAUGUGUAGCGGUGAAAUGCGUAGAUAUAUGGGGGAACACCGGUGGCGAAAGCGGCUCUCUGGUCUGUAACUGACGCUGAGGCUCGAAAGCGUGGGGAGCGAACAGG
rnacentral:rRNA from 1 species